AGGAAGGCUCGUCCGCUCUGGGUUAGUCGGGUCCUAAGCUGAGGCCGACAGGCGUAGGCGAUGGAUAACAGGUUGAUAUUCCUGUACCACCUAUAAUCGUUUUAAUCGAUGGGGGGACGCAGUAGGAUAGGCGAAGCGUGCGAUUGGAUUGCACGUCUAAGCAGUAAGGCUGAGUAUUAGGCAAAUCCGGUACUCAUUAAGGCUGAGCUGUGAUGGGGAGAAGACAUUGUGUCUUCGAGUCGUUGAUUUCACACUGCCGAGAAAAGCCUCUAGAUAGAAAAUAGGUGCCCGUACCGCAAACCGACACAGGUAGUCAAGAUGAGAAUUCUAAGGUGAGCGAGCGAACUCUCGUUAAGGAACUCGGCAAAAUGACCCCGUAACUUCGGGAGAAGGGGUGCUCUUUAGGGUUAACGCCCAGAAGAGCCGCAGUGAAUAGGCCCAAGCGACUGUUUAUCAAAAACACAGGUCUCUGCUAAACCGUAAGGUGAUGUAUAGGGGCUGACGCCUGCCCGGUGCUGGAAGGUUAAGAGGAGUGGUUAGCUUCUGCGAAGCUACGAAUCGAAGCCCCAGUAAACGGCGGCCGUAACUAUAACGGUCCUAAGGUAGCGAAAUUCCUUGUCGGGUAAGUUCCGACCCGCACGAAAGGCGUAACGAUUUGGGCACUGUCUCAACGAGAGACUCGGUGAAAUCAUAGUACCUGUGAAGAUGCAGGUUACCCGCGACAGGACGGAAAGACCCCGUGGAGCUUUACUGUAGCCUGAUAUUGAAAUUCGGCACAGCUUGUACAGGAUAGGUAGGAGCCUUUGAAACGUGAGCGCUAGCUUACGUGGAGGCGCUGGUGGGAUACUACCCUAGCUGUGUUGGCUUUCUAACCCGCACCACUUAUCGUGGUGGGAGACAGUGUCAGGCGGGCAGUUUGACUGGGGCGGUCGCCUCCUAAAAGGUAACGGAGGCGCUCAAAGGUUCCCUCAGAAUGGUUGGAAAUCAUUCAUAGAGUGUAAAGGCAUAAGGGAGCUUGACUGCGAGACCUACAAGUCGAGCAGGGUCGAAAGACGGACUUAGUGAUCCGGUGGUUCCGCAUGGAAGGGCCAUCGCUCAACGGAUAAAAGCUACCCCGGGGAUAACAGGCUUAUCUCCCCCAAGAGUUCACAUCGACGGGGAGGUUUGGCACCUCGAUGUCGGCUCAUCGCAUCCUGGGGCUGUAGUCGGUCCCAAGGGUUGGGCUGUUCGCCCAUUAAAGCGGUACGCGAGCUGGGUUCAGAACGUCGUGAGACAGUUCGGUCCCUAUCCGUCGUGGGCGUAGGAAAUUUGAGAGGAGCUGUCCUUAGUACGAGAGGACCGGGAUGGACAUACCUCUGGUGUACCAGUUGUCGUGCCAACGGCAUAGCUGGGUAGCUAUGUGUGGACGGG
rnacentral:rRNA from 1 species